rnacentral:rRNA from 1 species
UACGGAGGGGGCAAGCGUUGUCCGGACUUACUGGGCGUAAAGGGUGCGUAGGCGGCCUGCUGCGUCGGUGCUGAAAGCGCCCGGCUUAACCGGGCGAGGCGUGCCGAUACGAGCGGGCUGGAGCCUUGGCGAGGGUGGCGGAACUCCUGGUGUAGUGGUGAAAUGCGUAGAGAUCAGGAAGAACACCCGUGGCGCAAGCGGCCACCUGGCCGAAGAGCUGACGCUGAGGCACGAGAGCGUGGGAGCGAACCGG